AGUGAACGCUGGCGGCAGGCCUAACACAUGCAAGUCGAGCGGCAGCGCGUCCGACCACCCUCGGGUGGUCGGAUGGCGGCGAGCGGCGGACGGGUGAGGGAUGCAUCGGAAUCUGCCUCGUUGUGGGGGAUAACGUAGGGAAACUUACGCUAAUACCGCAUACGACCUACGGGUGAAAGUGGGGGACCUUCGGGCCUCACGCGAUGAGAUGAGCCGAUGCCGGAUUAGCUAGUUGGCGGGGUAAAGGCCCACCAAGGCGACGAUCCGUAGCUGGUCUGAGAGGAUGAUCAGCCACACUGGAACUGAGACACGGUCCAGACUCCUACGGGAGGCAGCAGUGGGGAAUAUUGGACAAUGGGGGCAACCCUGAUCCAGCCAUGCCGCGUGUGUGAAGAAGGCCUUCGGUUGUAAG
rnacentral:rRNA from 1 species